UAAGGAAUAUUGGUCAAUGGACGCAAGUCUGAACCAGCCAUGCCGCGUGCAGGAAGACGGCCCUCUGGGUUGUAAACUGCUUUUAUUCGGGAAUAAACCACAUUACGUGUAGUGUGCUGAAUGUACCGAAGGGAUAAGGAUCGGCUAACUCCGUGCCAGCAGCCGCGGUAAUACGGAGGGUGCGAGCGUUGUCCGGAUUUAUUGGGUUUAAAGGGUGCGUAGGUGGCUUUUUAAGUCAGUGGUGAAAUACGGUUGCUCAACAAUCGAGGUGCCAUUGAUACUGAAGAGCUUGAAAUAAUUGGAGGCUGCCGGAAUGGAUGGUGUAGCGGUGAAAUGCUUAGUUAUCGUCAAGAACACCGAUAGCGAAGGCAGCUUACUAAGCAGUAACUGACGCUGAGGCACGAAAGUGUGGGGAUCAAACA
rnacentral:rRNA from 1 species